UACGUAGGGUGCGAGCGUUGUCCGGAAUUAUUGGGCGUAAAGGGCUCGUAGGCGGUCUGUCGCGUCGGGAGUGAAAAACUCAGGGCUUAACCCUGAGCCUGCUUCCGAUACGGGCAGACUAGAGGUAUGCAGGGGAGAACGGAAUUCCUGGUGUAGCGGUGGAAUGCGCAGAUAUCAGGAAGAACACCCGUGGCGAAGGCGGUUCUCUGGGACGGUACUGACGCUGAGACGCGAAAGCGUGGGGAGCGAACAGG
rnacentral:rRNA from 1 species